CUACCCUGAUAGCAGACUACUCCGAUCCGGAUCCGUUUUACCUCCGGCAGAUCCGCGCUACAGUCAGGUCUGUUUAGUGGAUCUGGUCCGGCUUCACUCCGGGUUCGGGUUAUGAUUGUGACUCACGUUCAGAUCCGUUUUACUGACGGUAAAUCCGCAUAACAGUCCGUCUCAUUUCACGCCUUCCAUAUGACUUCGGCACGGAGUCAGAUACCAGAUGUGAGUUCAGUGUCAGUUCAGUGUCGUUUUGCGGAUCCGGGCCGCAUCGGCAGAGCGGCACAGGAGCGGGAGAAAUUCAAACUCAGCGCGAGGACCAACUGACAUCUGCUGAAUCUGCGCUUCAGGUGUAAUCAUUUACCCAUCAAAUCACCUAACAAGGAUCAGCCUGGAUCCUAACAGUACUUGAUGCACUGAGCAGUGACCUUAUACAUAGAGUAGUUAAGCAGGAUUUGGUAUCCGCAAAAUGGUUCGAGGUCCUCAGCCCUCGCCUCCCCCAGCACAGAGGAAAACUACCAAGGGCGGUACUCUCAUUAUAGGAGAUUCAAUUGUUAGACAUUUAAAAGUAUCUAAGAGUAAUGGCACAAUUUCAUGUCUUCCAGAUGCUUGCAUGCUGGUAGUCGGCAAGCGGCUCCCUGGGGCGCAUUGCCAAAGCAGGAACCCCGGCACCAUCGCCCUCCACGUGGGGAUGAGCUUUCGGGAGCGACCGGCCCCGUUCCACAGAGACAGGCUUCUCUCUGUGAACAUCGAGGCGGUGCUACGCUGAGACUGACUGUCUCUACCCAGUCACACCAGCCAAGCUGCACUGUAGUGGUGUUAAGUGUCCAAGAAUGCUCUCAUCAGUGGAGGCACAGCUGGCUGCAAAAAACGUCUGUGUCUGCAUGUUUAUAUUAUGUGAAUUAAAAAUGGUUUUAUUAUUAAAAUAAUUGUAUUAAUGCCUGUUGAUUUAUAAAUUGUUUAAUUGAAAUCAAAUUUUAUUUAAGUAGCUUAAUUAAGUAUUGCAUUUAUAACUGAUGGUAUUUUAUUUAAUUAGCUUAAGUAUUGCAUUUAUAAGUGAUGGUAUUUUAUUUUAAUU